rnacentral:sRNA from 1 species
GGCAGAGACCAUGGAGCUUGGCAGCAGAGGAGGGGGGCUGCAUGGGGCUCAGUCCACCCCUGUGAAAAAUCCUCCCCACUGCCCGCUACCUCUCACCCUGCAGCCAUUGCCCUGCUGAAGGACAAGGACCCUGGGGCCUUCCUGAUCAGGGACAGUCAUUCAUUCCAAGGAGCUUAUGGGCUGGCCCUCAAGGUGGCCACACCGCCACCCAGUGCCCAGCCCUGGAAAGGUACAGAACACCCAAACCUGAGUGGGGUGGGGAUGAAGUUGGGGGUGGUGCCAGAGGCAAGGUAACAGGGCGGGUGGGGGUGCUGUGCUGGCCAUGCCGCUGUGGAGGGGAGAGGUAGGAAAAGACCUCAGCUGCUCGGGAAAGAAUCCCAUUAGGGAAGAAGCUGGAACCUGGAAUCCUAAAGCCGCAAUCUUCCCCUCUCCUCCUCUCAGGGGACCCCGUGGAACAGCUGGUCCGCCAUUUCCUCAUCGAGACUGGGCCCAAAGGGGUGAAGAUCAAGGGCUGCCCCAGUGAGCCCUACUUUGGCAGCCUGUCCGCCUUGGUCUCCCAGCACUCCAUCUCCCCCAUCUCCCUGCCCUGCUGCCUGCGCAUUCCCAGCAAAGAUCCUCUGGAAGAGACCCCAGAGGCUCCAGUGCCCACCAACAUGAGCACAGCGGCAGACCUCCUGCGUCAGGGUGCUGGUAGAGACUUCCCCUCCACUCCCCUCCCUCUCCCUGGGCACCAAGGGGGCAUUGUGGAUACAGGGCAUGGGGCACUGAAAGGCCUUGAGGUGGGUGAGCCCUGGCCAACCCAUGAGGGCAGGGGAGCCCCAUACUGUUGGGGAUGAGGAAUUGGGUCCUCAGCCUAGGUUCUCAAAGUCUCAUGAACAAGACGAUCAUGGGGUGGUAGCAGGGAGGCUUCUCUGCCUCGCUUCUGACUGUAGAUCCAGUAGAGUCAUGGAAUCUGCCUUUUUAACAAGUCACCUAUGUGAUUGUAAAGCAUGUGACAGCAGUAGCUGGGGAAUGUGCAAGAGCUGGUGGGGGUGGCUAGGGGAUGGGCACUCCCUCCCUGACCCACUCCCUGCCCCUGUAGCCUGCAGUGUGCUCUACUUGACCUCAGUGGAGACAGAGUCACUGACGGGCCCCCAAGCUGUGGCCCGGGCCAGCUCUGCAGCUCUGAGCUGUAGCCCCCGCCCGACACCAGCUGUUGUCCACUUCAAGGUGUCAGCCCAGGGCAUUACACUGACGGACAACCAAAGGAAGCUCUUCUUUCGCCGCCAUUAUCCAGUGAACAGCAUCACCUUCUCCAGCACUGACCCUCAAGACCGGAGAUGGACCAACCCAGACGGGACCACCUCCAAGAUCUUUGGUUUCGUGGCCAAGAAGCCGGGAAGCCCCUGGGAGAAUGUGUGUCACCUCUUUGCAGAGCUUGACCCAGAUCAGCCUGCUGGCGCCAUUGUCACCUUCAUCACCAAAGUUCUACUGGGCCAGAGAAAAUGAAGGAAGGCCACAAGCUCAGAGCCCACAUCGACACUGCACCCCUCCCAGCACCCCACAGCCCUCACAUCCCCUGGCCUGGACCCAGGAGACCCAGGAGAAAGCACCCUCCCUUAGGAAUGAGGAGUGGGCAUCAGGCCUGGGACACUGCUCUCCCUCCCCGCCCCCAGCCUGCUAAGUUAAGUGGACAGGCCCACAAGAUGACCUUGCAUGUGAGCAGAUGGCAGAGAUGGGUGUGUGAGGGGUGAGGAGGCAUCAGCAGUUGAGCCCCGAAGGAGAUCAGGCAGCCCCACCUACAGGAGAACGUCAGCCCUCCAGGGGAUCAGCCCCUGCCAGUUCCACCCAGCUGCAGGUCCCAGCAUGGCAGGGAUGGGAGAGGGGUGGGGAGCAAGUCACUGCCUCCUCUGAGCAGAGAUUCAGAGUAGGAUCACAU